rnacentral:hammerhead_ribozyme from 1 species
AUCCAGCUGAUCAGUUCCAAAUAGGACGAAUCGCGCGGUCUGGAU